AGAUUUGAGGGUACUCUGACUGCAACAUCUUUCACCCCAUUGAUCGCCAGGAUUGAUUUGGUUGAUCUGGCUGAGCAGGCGGGUGUCCCCGUCCUCCCUCACUGCCCCAUAUGUGUCCCUCCUAAAGCUGCAUGCUCAGUUGAAGAGGACGAGAGGACGACCUUCUCUGAUAGAGGAGGACCACGCUUCAGUCAAAGGCAUACAAGUAUCUAUCUGGACUUCCCUGCUAGCACUUCCAAACAAGCUCAGAGAUGUUCCUCCCCUCAUCU
rnacentral:lncRNA from 1 species